rnacentral:piRNA from 1 species
UUCUUUACUACGGUGGAAGGAGUGUGU